rnacentral:rRNA from 1 species
UACCAGCACCCCGAGUGGUCAGGACGUUUAUUGGGCCUAAAGCAUCCGUAGCCGGUUCUACAAGUCUUCCGUUAAAUCCACCUGCUUAACAGAUGGGCUGCGGAAGAUACUAUAGAGCUAGGAGGCGGGAGAGGCAAGCGGUACUCGAUGGGUAGGGGUAAAAUCCGUUGAUCCAUUGAAGACCACCAGUGGCGAAGGCGGCUUGCCAGAACGCGCUCGACGGUGAGGGAUGAAAGCUGGGGGAGCAAACCGG